rnacentral:rRNA from 1 species
GACAAACGCUGGCGGCAUGCCUAACACAUGCAAGUCGAACGGACAGAACAGGGAAGCUUUUCGGAGUGGAACUGGAAAGUUAGUGGCGGAUGGGUGAGUAACGCGUGGACAACCUACCUUGUAAAGGGGAAUAACCUCGAGAAAUCGAAGCUAAUACCCCAUAAUAACCUUGCUUCGCAUGAAGUAAGGAGGAAAGGCGGCCUUAGCGCUGUCGAUACAAGAUGGGUCCGCGUCUGAUUAGCUAGUUGGUGAGGUAAGGCUCACCAAGGCGACGAUCAGUAGCCGGCCUGAGAGGGUGAACGGCCACAUUGGGACUGAGACACGGCCCAAACUCCUACGGGAGGCAGCAGUGGGGAAUCUUCCGCAAUGGGCGAAAGCCUGACGGAGCAAUGCCGCGUGAGUGAAGAAGGCCUUCGGGUUGUAAAACUCUGUCCUUAUCGAAGAGAGAGUGUUGUAGUAACUGACAAUACUAGGACGGUAGAUGAGGAGGAAGCCCCGGCUAACUAUGUG